UUUUUUUUUUUUUUUUUUUUNUUUUUUUUUUUUUUUUAGCUUUUUAGGGCCACACCUGAGCUGCAGCUGCUGGCGUACACCACAGCCAUGGCAACAUGGGAUCUGAGCCAUGUCUGAAACCUACACCACAGCUCACAGCAAUGCCAGAUUCUGACCCACUGAGUGAGGCCAGGGAUCAAACCCAUGUCCUCAUGGAUACUAGUCAGAUUCAUUUCCACUGCUUCACAACGGGAACUCCUCUUGUAUGAUUUCAAAUCAUCUAUGGUUUUCUGAAUUGCCUUGAAAAAGAAUCAUUUUUUUUUCUUUCAAAGCAAACAAAAUACCUCUGUGAUCAAGAUUUGUGGCAAGAAGAUAGCUGUAGCUUCAAAAUGACUGAGGCAAACUUGGCAAAUAUUAAGCCAUGAGUGAUUUUUUAAUAUAAGCAUCAGAGAACAUAGUCAAGGAUGUGAUGCCCAGGAUUAUUUUGUGUAGAACAUAAUAAAUUUAUAAAAUAAAGUCUCAUUAGGAGAGAUUUAUAGCACUUCAGUAUUCACAGACACACUUGUGAUGCUGUUAAUGUCUACCCACAUGGGCUGUUCUAACAGGAGACUGCCAAUGACUGAUCAAAGAGAGACUGUAAACAGGACUCCCAAAAUGCCAGAGGCUGUUCAUCAUAGAACUCGGUAUAGAAAGGGACUCUAAUAGCCACCUUGUCCAACUCUUAUCUCUGCACCUUCCUGAUGGUCACUCUGGAGCUGCUUAAAAACUCCAACCUGGGAGUUCCUGUCGUGACGCAGUGGUUAACAAAUCCGACUAGGAACCAUGAGGUUUUGUGUUUGUUAACCACUGAGCCACAAUGGGAAAUCCCAAUGAGAUGAUUUUUAAAUGGCACUUUACUUUCAAAAUGUUUAUAAGUCAUCUGUCAAAAUCUCUCAAACAGUUGAGGCUAUUGAGUUAUUCAGGUUGCCUUGCAGCUACAUUCACAAUGGUCUUAAGGCUUUCCUUAACACUAACUAAAGAGAUUCUUGAAAGGCCAUCUAGAAAUUCAGUCACCAAUGGAGGUGUCAAGAAGGGACAGAAAAUUUCUCUUUCCUUUGGAAAGUGAGAGAAACUGCCCUUUUUGUGUUCUCAAUAACCCUAAUCUAGAGUUACUAGAUUUAGCAAGUAGAAAUAAUUGUUUAUCUGAAAUUUAUAUUUAACUGAACAUCCUGCAUUUCCUCUGUCAAUGAGACUCCAGUUCCUUAAUUUGCCAAAGGAGUCAGACCAUAAGCACUUCACAAAUGCAUUUUCACAGGUACUGAUCUCAUGAUUCACAGCACUCCACCAUCUGGGCACAGGGAAAGUUAUCUUCAUUCUAAUCAGGGAAAAGCUGAUGCCCAAGGAUUUGUGAAUUAUCUAAAAUCAUAAGGUUAGUAACACAUAAGUCUAAAUAUCCCCUAACUCCAGACAGAUAUAAAUAUUUAAUUUACUAUGGAUUUACUAUCUACUUCACACAACAGACACUCAAAAAGAUUUACCUGUCAAAAGUAUAAAACUUUCAUUUCCCUUUUGUUUUGUCUACACUAUGCCAACAUUUAUAGCUAUUUCCUAAAACAGUAUUCAAAUAGGUCAUCAGAGGGACAACCUUUACCUGUUGAAGCAUUGCUUAUUGGCUAAAACAAAGAAUUCUCCUUUCCUGAAAGAAAGAGCAUUUUUUUAAUCACCUGAAGAAAGUCAAAUAUUUUAACUCUUUUAUAACACAUUAUAAGACAUUAAUUAACUCUUGACAACAGAAAAUCCAAAAAUAGGUAUAGAAUAUGUUGCCCUAAAAGACAAUCUAAUAGACACACUCUUUCCCUCAGAAGUGAAGUAUAUGAUUAAAAGGCAUUUAAAUAUGGCAUUUAAAUAUCCAGUAAUGUUAUGCAGACAAUUCAGUUUUCCUUGAGGUAAAAGUAAUUACUUGAGACAACAUCACUUUCAGGAAUACUCAACCACGAUUAAGAAAAUAGUCAUCAAAUCAAACUAAGCAGUAGUAUGCGGAAGAAUUACUUUCUUAAUAAUCUUAGAAAGUCAUUUACCUUGAGAACUAUCAGCAUUGACCAGGGCUAUAAGCUAAAAGACUGACAGAGCAAGCAAGCAUUAGAUGGAAUGAGUAUGGUAAUACUUUGAAUUAUCAUGGCAAAAUCUAUGCUGCCUAGAUUUAAAAUAAUCAAAUGCAAAUUUAUUUUUCCCCUCCAUCAUUAGUGCCUAAAUCCCAGUGAUCAGAUAGAUAUUUCUACAAGAGAAGCUCUGUCUUUUAGAAGACUGUGCUGGACAAAAAUGGGUGGACAUCCUGACCCCUAAUAUGCCUAGGACUUCUUUUUCUCAUUCCUCAGUGUAGAGUACUUUAGCACCCUAAUUUGCCUUAUUUCUGGUUCCUACUUCUCAGAGGAAAGAAAGGGUCUGUCAAUAUGGUAUUAACUUCCUGAAAAUGGUCAUCUGAAGGUAUUGAGUGUGACCUUUCAGCCCCAUGAAUCUCAGUUUCCUCAAGCAGGGAGGGCCCUGGGCAGGUCCUAUGGCCACCUGGCAGCAGGGCUGACAGCUGGAGGCUGAAUGAUGUCCUUGGCUCUUAGCACCUCCCUCUGUCUCUAUUUCACCUGAUAAGUGAACUUCCAAACAUAGACAAAAUGUUUGAAGACAGUGGGCACAAGAUGGGCUUGAUUCCAACAAACUUAAGCCCCAACUCUCCUAGGAAAGGAUUUUAAAAUCCUACUCCAUAUUCACUGGAGAAAUCAGUCAUAAGAGAAGAGGAAAAGAAAUUAACCUUUAUCCGGUACCUGUUUCGUAUUAGGCCGUUGACCAUCAUGAUACAUACCGGAAAAGCUUUAGACAUAACCUUAAUAAAUCUACAACUAUUUAUUAAAUUAGAUGAUCCAUGAGUCUCUUUUAUUGACACUAACCAUAAAAGUGAAAUAAAACUAUUCCCAGAAGCUGCUCUGGGCUUGACUUUGGUGACUGGGUUAAGGAUUUUUUUGCCUUUUUUUUUUAUAUACCAUUAAAUGUCAUAAUUAGAGAUCAGGUAAUUCAGAUCUCCAG
rnacentral:lncRNA from 1 species